rnacentral:rRNA from 1 species
CUUUGAACGCAUCUUGCACCUUUUGGUAUUCCAAAAGGUACACCUGUUUGAGUG